UCCAAACGACAUUUUCUAUUACCCUGAUAAAUUGAGCAACUAAAAGCUAGCUUAGGAACAGUUUAUCUUAAUUAAUCGUAUAAACUAAAGCCAAAUCUAAUUUACAUUUAAAACGUUUAUUUGUUAUAUUUAUAGAGAAAUCCUGUUAGAGAAAAGGUAAAAAAAACCUCGCAGACAUUUUUAUAAGAACGGGGUUGGCGAUCUAGAAAAUCAAGGAUGUAAAUACAAUAGGGAGCAUGCCGAAGAGUCUUUGGAACUAGAAGCUAGGGUGGGCGCUAAUGAUGGAAAGUUUUCAACAAUUGAGACUGGGAGUAAUUACUCGUGUAAAAGACUACCUUGGAAUCAAAAAGCCGUUUUUGGCAUUGGAUUGUAAGAACCAAAAGUUUUCUUCAUGGUGGGGGUAAUGAACAGGGUAGGAUGCGCUUGUCAUUUGGUAAAAAAAUUGAGGGCAUAAUGGGCUAGGAAGUCGUCAAUACGGGGAAUUUGGCAGGAGUCGUACAGGAUCCGAUUGGAAGUAUGUUUGAACCGGUCUUGGUUUUUGAAGCUGUUAGAAUACUGAUGGAGGCCUUUGCGCUGUUGGUGCCAGAGGGGGAAGGAGUAUCGGAUAAAAAAACUUAAGCCGAAAAUCAGGAAGGAUCAGAUAUAAACUGCAAUGCAAAUUACACAGCUUGAAUAGAUUGAAUAAUUUGAUGCGAUAUAUCAGUACGAUAUGCUAUGCCAAAGGUGGCUCUUCAAUAUGUCCAGGAAUAGCAGCACCUGAAAAGGGAGUUUGCUACUCUUCACAAUAAACCUUUAUGAAAAACAAAUCGCUGAGAGCCAAACAGCUCCUGUACCUCAUUUAAUUGUGGUUUGUAUUGAAGUCCAUUUGAGGUUGGUACAUCAUUGUGCAACAGGCUAAUGAAUAAAGUGCCGUCGUUUGAUGCACGUUGAAAUAAACUAUUUUCAAGGUAAAAUCCGACUGCAUAUACGUGCAUGCUACAGUCGAAAACGAAGCUGGAAAAAACUCUUCAACGGCCUACAUUUCAGAUGGAAUCGAUAUCGUUGUGGUAAACGAAAAUACUCUUCAAUUCAUGCCUACUAUCAAGUUGAAUGUUUGUGGUUUCGGGCCCUUCAACAGUUGGAAGAAAAGUCCACCAUUUUAACACAUGUUUCCAUACUUAUUUGACACGAUAUUGAGAAGCCAUAAGGAUACCAUGGACAUAAGAACCCCCUAUGGGUAGUUCUUAUGAAUUCUAUAUUUAUAUAAC